rnacentral:pre_miRNA from 1 species
AGGAGGAACAGCCCCAGUGGCGGGGCAGCUCUGGAAAUCUGGAUUCAGCUCCGGCAGGAACUCCGUCUGCAGGGCCUGGAGGCUCCGGGCGGGG